rnacentral:rRNA from 1 species
CCUACGGGAGGCAGCAGUAAGGAAUAUUGGUCAAUGGGCGCAAGCCUGAACCAGCCAUGCCGCGUGCAGGAAGACGGCCCUAUGGGUUGUAAACUGCUUUUGAACAAGAGAAAACCUCGGUACGUGUACCGAGCUGAUAGUAUUGUUAGAAUAAGCAUCGGCUAACUUCGUGCCAGCAGCCGCGGUAAGACGAAGGAUGCAAGCGUUAUCCGGAUUCAUUGGGUUUAAAGGGUGCGUAGGCGGCCUGAUAAGUCAGUGGUGAAAUCUCUCAGCUUAACUGAGAAACUGCCAUUGAUACUGUCGGGCUUGAGUACAGAUGAUGUGGGCGGAAUAUGACAUGUAGUGGUGAAAUACUUAGAUAUGUCAUAGAACACCGAUUGCGAAGGCAGCUCACAAAACUGUAACUGACGCUGAGGCACGAAAGUGCGGGGAUCAAACAGGAUUAGAUACCCUGUAGUCCGCACCGUAACGAUGAUUACUCGUUGUUGGACAUAUGACCGUCAGCGACCAAGCGAAAGCGAUAAGAAUCCACCUGGGAGUACGCGCACGGUGAACUCAAAGGAAUUGACGGCGNGAGAGNGCGAGACGACGACGAGGGAGAG